AAGAUCUCUGACUUUCUUGCUGUUUCAGCUUCCAUCCCCUGGGCCCUCAUUGAUUUUCUCCAUCGUUCCAACCGUGAGCGGGAGCCCCAUUAAUCACUGCUCUGCCCAUGAUGGACGGCAGGAACAGGAGUUAAAGCCAAAGGUCCCCAAGUCCACUUACAUUAUCAGGCCGACUAUGGGCUGACGAGAGCCCGAUGUUACCAGCCAAAGAUUUUCACUGUAAGAAUUAACAAAUAUCCCUGUGUGCUGUUACCUGAACAUCUACCUCUCUCUCAUUUUUCAUCUCUCUCUCUCUCUCUCUCUCUCUCUCUCUCUCUCUCUCUCUCUCUCUUUCU
rnacentral:lncRNA from 1 species